AUGCUUUGCCAGCUGAAUCCUAACAAGCCACCUCAGAAGUUCUACCGUUUCCACCAUACGGAUCUUGCUGCUGGAGCGUCUCAGAUCGUGAUUUCCCUCUUCUUCUACAACUCCAUUUUCACUUUUUCUCUUUCUUCCAUCGUUGCCACAGAUCUCAUUCUUCUCCCAAGUUUCAACCAUGUUCAAUUUCCACUUUUUCACCCCAUUUUGACUAUUCGGUUUGUUGCUUUGUCAUCUAAAUCCUAUAUUUCUUCUUCAAAAGAGGGUAAGUCGUUUUUGCAUCAAAGGCUUCUUGAUGAAUGUUUGACAGAUUUUUUUUGUGAAAGGUUGUAA